rnacentral:rRNA from 1 species
UACGUAGGCGGUUUAUUAAGUCAGAUGUGAGAGCCCGGGCUUAACCUGGGAACUGCAUUUGAUACUGGUAAACUAGAGUAUGGUAGAGGGGGGUAGAAUUCCUAGUGUAGCGGUGAAAUGCGUAGAUAUUAGGAGGAAUACCAGUGGCGAAGGCGGCCCCCUGGACCAAUACUGACGCUGAGGUACGAAAGCGUGGGUAGCGAACA